rnacentral:piRNA from 1 species
UAGCAGAACUUUUACAAGAGUUACUG